CUCUUCUUCAGAAAAAUGACCAAGGGCCGAGACUACGGCAUCUAUCCUCCUGCUAAAACGCCGUAGACAAGCCCCCGCCAGAGAAUAUAUUCUUUGCCCCCGCCUCUUCAGUUCCAGCAUGGAAGUAGAAGGAGAAGACCUGAGUACACAUUCUCCAUAUCAACUAAAAAUUCUUUAAACUGACGCUGAUUAAGAGCUUUAGCUAUAUGCAGUUGAUAAUCUUAAUCACAAAUUCCAUAACUUUGCAAGUUUCUUCUGGAAAUGCCUGCACACAGAGCGUUUCUUGAUGAAGGAUAUAAUGGAUAAAUCUCCAACUCCUCUUCAUUUGCUUGGAAUAUGGUACAGACUUCACUGCAUUUUCAACAGUACCACGCAAUUUCCAUCGAUUUAUGACAUCAAAGGUGGUUGAAUGCUUUUCAUUGGAUAUUUCGAAUACUUUUACUACCUUUCAAAUGAUGAAUAAUUGAAUUGCUACUGAAGCUUGUCAUUCGUUUGUAGCGUCUUGCCAUGUUCUUCCCAGAUAUGGAACUGUUAACGUAUUUUGCUAAACAAGUAAUAAUUUUUGUUUAAAACAAAAUUUAUGAAAACAAAUUUCAU